GUUUUAACUCGCGAUCUCCGGACGAUAGAACGAACUCUUUUCUUGGCGGUGAGAAAUUUUGCACAGCUGAAAAUGAGCUCGGUUUAAACUGUAGGUUGCGUUAUUAUCCUCUUUGCUAAGCCACUGUUGAGUCUGUUCCGAAUUGACAGGUGGCGUGGCGUAGCUGAAACAGUGUUGGCGGUUGUGGAAAUCACCGAAACCCAUUUGACACGCUCUAUCCUUUCCCUUCCCUGAAAAGAAUGUGUGUAAACAAAAGCACAGCUUUCCAGCCAUUUCAUGAACACUUUAAGGAAGUGAUUUAACCUAAUCUCCGGCUAAUCGAAACCUCAUCCGAUCACAUCUGUGACACCUGGAUGAUUACCAGAGGGAAGAAUUCUGACCGGUUUAGCAGAACUAAGAAAUGACUAGAAAACUGUUUCCUUUAUAAUGGAGGAAGCCUAAGGGCAGGUGUUGGAGCAGCUCACUGUUCAUGCUAAAAAUGCUUUCAUGCAUUAUCCAGUGGUAUUUAAGCCAAUAGUGCAAAUUAAAUAUCUAAUUGUAUAAAUUCUCUCUGACAUUCUAUUGAAUAGUAUAGAUAGUAUAGUAAAAUCUGUUGGUUCAGAGGGCGGGAUUUAUGGUUAAUUAUGCAUUAGUAAUGAAGCCGUGCUGAUUUGAUUGCGCAUGGAUAUCACAAAACCCAUUGGCAUUAAUGGCAUAUUUUUAAUAUUUAUUGACAGUGUUUUUGAAAAUUUUCUGUCAGUGGGAUUUCUUUUCCUUUUUAAAAAAAUUUUUUUUUUUAUCCUUUCUCCUGUGAAAGCAAAAUCAACAAUAGCGAUAAGACAGCGUCUUACAUAAUUGAAUAAAUUAAAACUUAUUAAAGGUUGAAAUGCCCGGUGCAACACACACUUCCUGGAUAAUAUUACCAAAUAGACUGAGAGUUUGUGACCAUCUUAAUUUUCCAAGGUCCUUGUUUAUUUAUCGCCAUGUUUUCUGAACUGUAAGUUCCUUCUGCGUUUAAGACACAGGCCUCUAAAUUCUGUUGGGUUCAUUCAAAAUCUGUAUAUUCAUAUAUUGCUCAAAAUGGAUGCAGAGCUUUACUGAUAUGAUUGCCAAACUCCAACUGGGUUCUCAAACACCAGCAUCUGUUGAUACAGGAUGAUAAAAGAAGUGAUGAUAAAAGAAGCCCCUUAUAAAUACAAGUGCUUACAAAACGUGGACUCUCAAAUGCUAAACUCUCAAACAAGAGUGAAUUUAAAGUUGAUUUUUGUCACAGUUCAAGUAAUCGUAGGAGACACUGUCGAUCAGUGCGUUUACAUGGACAACAAUAAUCCGAUAUUAAGACGAUACUCUGAUUAAGAAACUAGCAUGUAAACAGCGAUUAUUGAUGACCUUAAUCCGACUAAAGUCAUACUCGAAGUGAACACAAAUGGAAUUAAGACGUGUGGAGUAUUCCUGUUUUAGUCGCGUUAUCGAAGUGCGUUACAGACACGUACACACCUUAAUCACACUGUUAACAUCGUGUAGAAGUUUUCACCACAUUGUGCGACAGGACACGAUCACACAUGGCAGCGCUCAACCGUUUGACGGCAAGAGAGCACGGCUGCGUCCCAAACCGCGUACUUACCUACUAUAUAGUAGGUAAGUACACGUAUCUCGGCUACUAUAUAGUAGGUAAGUACACGUAUCUCGGCUACUAUAUAGUAGGUAAGUACACGUAUCUCGGCUACUAUAUAGUAGGUAAGUACACGUAUCUCGGCUACUAUAUAGUAGGUAAGUACACGUAUCUCGGCUACUAUAUAGUAGGUAAGUACACGUAUCUCG
ensembl:lncRNA